GUCGGCGCUGAGGCGGAGCUGCCAGGGCGGGUCCGUUCCCUGUACCGCUCCCUCCCGGUUUCCCACCCUCAUCCACAUCCCCGGGAGGCGCAGCUGGGGCACGGGGCCCCGCUCUGCUCUUAGGGGUCCCCUCAGCGCCUGCUGCAGCCCCGCCAUGUCCCGGCGUACCCCUCAGAGACGUGGAGCCUCUGAGGGCUCGGCCGGCAGGCGGGAUGUGAGCUGUGCCCGCAGGGCUGUGGUGCCCCUCUUCCCAUGGAGCAGGAUGGAAGGAAACGUCCCAGGGAAUGCCGCUGGAAUGCUGGAAAGGAUCGAGCCAGCCGUGCCAGGCUCUGGCUGCUGGGAAACUCAGCUCCUGUUGCGUCUGGAAGAACCGCAGGCUGCUGCAGCUUCUCAAGCGGAAACGCUGAAUCCCACCCCUCUGAGCUGGCAAAGGAGCUGAAAUCCAAGGAUUUAAUGCCCAUAGAGCACUGCACAACCCCCAAACCCCCUCCAACAGUUCCACCUUGGAUAAACAGGAAAAAAAUCCACCUGCGGAGGUUCCCUGCCCAAAUUUUGGGCUUGGCAGAGGAGCGGGAGACUCAGACUCAGGGACAGAUCACAGGGAUCAGGAUUUGUUUUGGCUGGAGGAUUACUGGGACAUUUUUAGGAGUCCAGUCGCCAUCUGCCGGCAAACUCUGGCUCUUGGGUGGGAAUCUGGGGAAAAGUUCAGGAUUUAAGGGCAGGUUCUCUAACUCCCUGUGAGAAAAUCGUGGGUUUUUUAGGGUACUGAAGGGGUAGUUAAUUUUUGAGCGAGGAAAAGGAAACGCAAAUCCCACCCCGAAAACCUGUGUAUGGCUCGGAGUUCAAAGGAGAACAUUGGAGUGGGGAAUAUUUUGGAUAUAAAUGAGAAAGUUUUAAGAAAUUAUGCGGACUUGGGGAAUUUUGCAUGUUUCUGAAGGCUGGGGCUGAUCCUUGUGCUCCAUAAGAGCAGCUUUAGGCUUAAAUGAAGAGGCACGAAUUGGAUGGAGGACACACGGACACCUGGAUGUCUGCAGGAGGGACCAGAGGCUGGA
rnacentral:lncRNA from 1 species